AAUUCAAAAUAAAAAUAUCGGCUAAUCGUCUAUGUACAACGUAUUUUGACUUGUUAUCGAUCUUUUACACACUCACGAACGAUUUGAAAUCAUAAGAAGAACGCAAGAACUGACAUAAUUCAUCUUCCUAUUUUUCUGAAAUCUCGGAAGCUAGAUUGAAAAAUCGACUCACAAUCCAACAUCACGAAGAUUUUCAUGUCAUUUUGAUUCGAGGUAUUAAAAACCGAGUAAUUCAGUAUGAAAA